rnacentral:tRNA from 1 species
GGAGGGUAUGCGAAUGGUGAGCGGCCACAUUGGAAAUGUGGUGCCCCGAAAGGGGUUGCGGGUUCGAAUCCCGUGCCCUCCG